rnacentral:rRNA from 1 species
CAGCCGCCGCGGUAAUACCGGCGGCCCGAGUGGCGGCCACUAUUAUUGGGCUUAAAGCGUCCGUAGCCGGGUUGGGAAGUCCUCCGGGAAAUCUGGCCGCUUAACGGUCAGAAUGCCGGAGGAUACUCCCAGCCUAGGGAGCGGGAGAGGCCGAGGGCAUUCCCGGAGUAGGGGCGAAAUCCUAUAAUCCCGGGAGGACCGCCUGUGGCGAAGGCGCUCGGCUGGAACGCGUCCGACGGGGAGGGACGAAGGCCAGGGGAGCAAACCGGAUUAGAUACCCGGGUAGUCCUGGCUGUAAACGAUGCGGACUUUGUGUCGGACAAGCUAUGAGCUUGUCCGGUGCCGGAGGGAAACCGUUAAGUCCGCCGCCUGGGGAGUACGGCCGCAAGGCUGAAACUUAAAGGAAUUGGCGGG